rnacentral:rRNA from 1 species
UACGGGGGGGGUAAGCGUUGUUCGGAAUUACUGGGCGUAAAGGGCUCGUAGGCGGCCAACUAAGUCAUACGUGAAAUCCCUCAGCUUAACCGGGGAACUGCGUCUGAUACUGGAUGGCUUGAAUCCGGGAGAGGGAUGCGGAAUUCCAGGUGUAGCAGUGAAAUGCGUAGAUAUCUGGAGGAACACCGGUGGCGAAGGCGGCAUCCUGGACCGGCAUUGACGCUGAGGAGCGAAAGCCAGGGAGUAACGGG